UUGAGUGAUGAAGGCCUUAAGGUUGUAAAGCUCUUUCAACCGAGAACGAAGAUGACCGUUACCUGUUAGAAGAAAGCCCCGGCUAACUUCGUGCCAGCAGCCGCGGUAAUACGAAGGGGGGCCAGCGUUGUUCGAAUUACUGGCGUAAAGCGCACGCAGGCGGUGGUCAUAGUCAGAAGUGAAAGCCCUGGGCUCAACCCGGAAAUUGCUUUUGAUACUGGACCGCUAGAAUCACGGAGAGGGUAGGUGGGAAUUCCGAGUGUAGAGGUGAAAAUUCGUAGAUAUUCGGAAGAACACCCAGUGGCGAAGGCGACUACCUGGCCGUCGAUUGACGCUCAUGUGCGAAAAGCGUGGGGAAG
rnacentral:rRNA from 1 species